rnacentral:lncRNA from 1 species
AAGACAUGAACACAUAAAUAUCCUCAUUAAGUCCCAAAUACACAUCCCAAACUUUACAUAACAGGAGCAGCAGCUGGAGACGCCCACAGUCCUAAUUGCUUUUCUCUACGAAGAGAACGUCCUCUCUCCAGCUUUGCUUCUUCCAUUCAUUUAGGUAAUUACUGGAGGGAGCCAGCUGCGGCUGACUGGCGGGUAGGCAGGCAGGUUAGUAACACCCCUUAGUGGGCGCCCCCACCGAUGGGAUGCUGUGGGAAGCUGGAACCUCUCUGCUGUCUUCACAGGAAGGCGGGGCCUGAGAAUGGAAGGUCUUCUGCUCAGGACCUGUCUUGAUCCCCAUGGGCCCAGAUUGAGUUGCUGGGACUGGAUGCGUCACCUCCCAGGGACCUGACAAGCAAGAUUCAGAGCAGCAGGAAGGACCGAGGGCCAGGUUGCUGCCCUGACUCUUGGAGUACUCCUGGAGCCGGACCCACCUGCCCUUUGCUGCUUGUCUAUUUCUCCCUUCUCCUUUUCCUUGUCUCAUCUUCAUUUCUUUUUCUAUUCCUCCUCCCCAUUCCCCUUCCUUUCUCCUCUUUUCUCUCUCCUUUUCUUCCCUUUUCACAGCUCACUUGAGAAGACCUGGCCUUGGGCUCUGGAGGUGACAGAUGAACCCUAGAAGCCCUCCAGAGAGGGGCUCCCCACUCCCAUCCCCUCUGAGGACUCAGCCCCGGAACCACACACGCUUCUGGGACUCUGUGGCCCUUUAAAGUCAUUGUGGACUUCCCUGCUGGUCCAGUGGUUAAGGUUCUGCCUGCCGACGCAGGGGACAUGGGCUCAGUCCCCCGGGACUAGGAAGGUUCCACAUACUUGGAGCAACUGAGCCCAUGCGCCAUGACUGCUGAAGCCCUUGAGCCCUAGAGCCCACGCUCUGCAAUAGGAGAAGCCACUGCAGUGAGAAACCCACACACCACAACCAGAGAGCAGCCCCCACGCCCCACGACUAGAGAAAGCCCACGGGCAGCAAACAAGACCCAGCAAAGCCAAAAUAAAGGUGUUAAAACCUUAAAAAGUAAAGUCUCU